GUCCGGGCUGGGGUAAUGGUUAUCCUUCAGGCUUGUGGAGCCUGAGACGCGGAUUCGAUUUCCGCGCCCGGACU
rnacentral:tRNA from 1 species